AGAGUUCGAUUCUGGCUCAGGAUGAACGCUGGCGGCGUGCUUAACACAUGCAAGUCGAACGAAGCGGUUUCGAUGAAGCCUUCGGGCGGAAUUGAAAUUGACUGAGUGGCGGACGGGUGAGUAACGCGUGGGUAAUCUGCCUCACACAGGGGGAUAACAGUUAGAAAUGACUGCUAAUACCGCAUAAGCGCACAGGACGGCAUCGUCCGGUGUGAAAAACUCCGGUGGUGUGAGAUGAGCCCGCGUCUGAUUAGGUAGUUGGUGGGGUAAAGGCCCACCAAGCCGACGAUCAGUAGCCGGCCUGAGAGGGUGGACGGCCACAUUGGGACUGAGACACGGCCCAA
rnacentral:rRNA from 1 species